UUGACCUCGGAUCAGGUAGGACUACCCGCUGAACUUAAGCAUAUCAAUAAGCGGAGGAAAAGAAACCAACAGGGAUUGCCCCAGUAACGGCGAGUGAAGCGGCAACAGCUCAGAUUUGGAAUCUGGUCCCCAGGGCCCGAGUUGUAAUCUGGAGAGGAUGCUUCUGGCGCGGCGCCUUCCGAGUUCCCUGGAACGGGACGCCGGAGAGGGUGAGAGCCCCGUACGGUUGGACGCCUAGCCUUUGUGAAGCUCCUUCGACGAGUCGAGUAGUUUGGGAAUGCUGCUCAAAAUGGGAGGUAAAUUUCUUCUAAAGCUAAAUACCGGCCAGAGACCGAUAGCGCACAAGUAGAGUGAUCGAAAGAUGAAAAGCACUUUGAAAAGAGGGUCAAACAGUACGUGAAAUUGUUGAAAGGGAAG
rnacentral:rRNA from 1 species